CGGACCGGCGCACGGGUGCGUAACGCGUAUGCAACCUACCCAUUACAGGGGGAUAACAUCGAGAAAUUGGUACUAAUACCCCAUAACAUCACCGGAGGCAUCUUCGGUGGUUGAAAACUCAGGUGGUCAGAGAUGGACAUGCGUUGUAUUAGCUAGUUGGUGAGGUAACGGCUCACCAAGGCGACGAUACAUAGGGGGACUGAGAGGUCAACCCCCCACAUUGGUACUGAGACACGGACCAAACUCCUACGGGAGGCAGCAG
rnacentral:rRNA from 1 species